GUUAAGGCUGAGGCGUGAUGACGAGGCACCACGGUGCUGAAGUGACAAAUGCCCUGCUUCCAGGAAAAGCCUCUAAGCAUCAGGUAACAUCAAAUCGUACCCCAAACCGACACAGGUGGUCAGGUAGAGAAUACCAAGGCGCUUGAGAGAACUCGGGUGAAGGAACUAGGCAAAAUGGUGCCGUAACUUCGGGAGAAGGCACGCUGACAUGUAGGUGAAGCCCCUGCGGGUGGAGCUGAAGUCAGUCGAAGAUACCAGCUGGCUGCAACUGUUUAUUAAAAACACAGCACUGUGCAAACACGAAAGUGGACGUAUACGGUGUGACGCCUGCCCGGUGCCGGAAGGUUAAUUGAUGGGGUUAUCGCAAGAGAAGCUCCUGAUCGAAGCCCCGGUAAACGGCGGCCGUAACUAUAACGGUCCUAAGGUAGCGAAAUUCCUUGUCGGGUAAGUUCCGACCUGCACGAAUGGCGUAAUGAUGGCCAGGCUGUCUCCACCCGAGACUCAGUGAAAUUGAACUCGCUGUGAAGAUGCAGUGUACCCGCGGCAAGACGGAAAGACCCCGUGAACCUUUACUACAGCUUGACACUGAACAUUGAGCCUUGAUGUGUAGGAUAGGUGGGAGGCUUUGAAGCGUGGACGCCAGUCUGCGUGGAGCCGACCUUGAAAUACCACCCUUUAAUGUUUGAUGUUCUAACCUGGCGCCGUGAUCCGGCGUGGGGACAGUGUCUGGUGGGUAGUUUGACUGGGGCGGUCUCCUCCCAAAGUGUAACGGAGGAGCACGAAGGUCAGCUAAUCCUGGUCGGACAUCAGGAGGUUAGUGCAAUGGCAUAAGCUGGCUUGACUGCGAGAGUGACGGCUCGAGCAGGUGCGAAAGCAGGUCAUAGUGAUCCGGUGGUUCUGUAUGGAAGGGCCAUCGCUCAACGGAUAAAAGGUACUCCGGGGAUAACAGGCUGAUACCGCCCAAGAGUUCAUAUCGACGGCGGUGUUUGGCACCUCGAUGUCGGCUCAUCACAUCCUGGGGCUGAAGUAGGUCCCAAGGGUAUGGCUGUUCGCCAUUUAAAGUGGUACGCGAGCUGGGUUUAGAACGUCGUGAGACAGUUCGGUCCCUAUCUGCCGUGGGCGCUGGAGAAUUGAGGGGGGCUGCUCCCAGUACGAGAGGACCGGAGUGGACGCAUCACUGGUGUUCGGGUUGUCAUGCCAAUGGCACUGCCCGGUAGCUAAAUGCGGAAGAGAUAAGUGCUGAAAGCAUCUAAGCACGAAACUUGCCCCGAGAUGAGUUCUCCCUGAGACUGUAAGUCUCCUGAAGGAACGUUGAAGACGACGACGUUGAUAGGCCGGGUGUGUAAGCGCAGCGAUGCGUUGAGCUAACCGGUACUAAUGAACCGUGAGGCUUAACCUU
rnacentral:rRNA from 1 species